CUCUUUUGUGAGGACUGCAGCCAACACCGCUGACAAUGCAGAUCUUUGUGAAAACCUUAACUGGUAAGACCAUCACCCUGGAGGUCGAGCCCAGUGACACCAUUGAAAAUGUCAAGGCAAAGAUCCAGGACAAGGAGGGCAUCCCCCCUGACCAGCAGAGGCUGAUCUUUGCAGGCAAGCAGCUGGAAGAUGGCCGCACCCUGUCAGACUACAACAUCCAGAAGGAGUCCACCUUGCACCUGGUCCUUCGCCUCAGAGGGGGCAUGCAGAUCUUUGUGAAGACCCUGACAGGCAAGACCAUCACCCUGGAGGUCGAGCCCAGUGACACCAUUGAAAAUGUCAAGGCAAAGAUCCAGGACAAGGAGGGCAUCCCCCCUGACCAGCAGAGGCUGAUCUUUGCAGGCAAGCAGCUGGAAGAUGGCCGCACCCUGUCAGACUACAACAUCCAGAAGGAGUCCACCCUGCACCUGGUCCUGCGCCUCAGAGGGGGCAUGCAGAUCUUUGUGAAGACCCUGACAGGCAAGACCAUCACUCUGGAUGUCGAGCCCAGUGUUAACACCAAGAAGGUCAAACAGGAAGAUACUCGUACCUUUCUCACCACAGUAUCUAGAAAGAGCCCUUCUUGUGCUUGUUCUUGGGUUUGAUGGGGAGGUGUCUUAGUUUUCCCUAUCUUUUAAGCUGUUAACAAGUUUCAUUGCACUUUGAAUAAAGUUCUUGCAUUCCC
rnacentral:lncRNA from 1 species